rnacentral:lncRNA from 1 species
CUGGGAGGUGGAGACUGCAGUGAGCCGAGAUCAUGCCACUACACUCCAGCUUGGGUGACAGAGUGAGACUCCUUCUCAAAAUAGAAAAAUAAAAAAUAAAAAAGACUGAAAUUGGCCAACUGGAUUUACUCCAAGAUGGCAAGAAGCACAGGGAGUCACAGCAACGUGUGUGCCUCACUUCAGGGCUAACGGGACUUGGCCUCUUUGAGCUCCUGUUCCCUCGUGUGUAGAAUGGGGAUAAUUAUAACAGCUCCACCUUCCGAGGUGGUUGUGAGCAGCACGUGAGACGACCCCCAAAAACCUGUCAUCGUAAGGGCUCAAAAUGACGACACUUGGCAGGGGGAGUGGGAGGUAUAGAGGGUGAUGGAUUGUGGGAGCUCAUUUCAUUAUCCUGUCUGACUUUCUAUAUCUUUAAAAGUCUCCAUAAUAAUUUUAAAAUACAUUUGUUUACUCACAAAGGAAGGAAGGAUUAUCACUGGGUGUGAUCUCAGGGAGGCUGGUGGGAACAUGGUCAGAACUAAAAAUGUGGGAUUAUGUGGAACCUCACUAUCCAGUGGUAGCCACUAGCCACCUGUGGCUAUCGAGUUCUUGAAAUGUGGCUAAUCCUAACUGAGAUGCGGUGUGUUAUAUGCUUGCCUUUUUUUCUUCUUCUUCUUCAGAAACAGAGCUGGCUAGGUGCAGUGGAGAAUCACUUUAGCCCAGGAGUUCAAGACUAUCCUGGGCAACAAAGUGAGACCCAUCUCCACAAAAAAUUAGCUGGGAAUGGUGGCAUGGGCCUGUAGUAGUCCCAUCUACUCUGUAGGCUGAGGUGAGAGGAUUGUUUGAGCCAAGUAGUUUGAGGCUGCAGUGAGCUAUGAACGUACCACUGGACAUCCAGACUAGGUGACUGAGAGAGACCCUAUCUCUCUCUCUUUUUUUUUCUUUUGAGAUAAGGUCUCUCUCUGUCACCCAGGCUGGAAUACAGUGGCGUGAUCUCCACUCACUGCAACCUCCGCCUCACAGGCUCAAAUGAUCCUCCUACCUCAGCCUCCUGAGUAGCUGAGAUUACAGGUGUGCACCACCAUGCCUGGCUAAUUUUUGUCUGUUUGCUUGUUUGUUUUUUUGAGACGGAGUUUCCCUCUUUCGCCCAGGCUGGAUAAAAAAAAAAAAAAGAAAGGAAGGAAAUUCUGAAACAUGGGACAACAUGGGUGAAGUCUGAAGACAUCAUGCUAAGUGGAAUAAGCCAGUUACAAAAGGACAAAUACCACAUGAUUCCACUUAUGUGAGGUCCCCAGAGUGUUCACAUUCAGAGACAGAAAGUAACAUAGUGAUUGCCAGGGGCUUGGGAGACAGGGUGGGGUGGGUGGUUAGUGUUUGAUGGGGUUAGAAUUUCAGUUUGGGAAGAUGAGAAAGUUUGGAGAUGGAUGGUGGCGAUGGUUGAACAACAACAUGAAUGUGCUUAAUGCCAUCGAACUGUACGCUUAAAA